GGUUAAGCGACUAAGCGUACACGGUGGAUGCCCUGGCAGUCAGAGGCGAUGAAGGACGUGCUAAUCUGCGAAAAGCGCCGGCGAGGUGAUAUGAACCCUUGACCCGGCGAUGUCCGAAUGGGGAAACCCAGUGCAAUCCGUUGCACUAUCGUUAACUGAAUACAUAGGUUAACGAGGCGAACCGGGGGAACUGAAACAUCUAAGUACCCCGAGGAAAAGAAAUCAACCGAGAUUCCCCCAGUAGCGGCGAGCGAACGGGGAGCAGCCCAGAGUCUGAAUCAGCUUGUGUGUUAGUGGAAGCGUCUGGAAAGUCGCACGGUACAGGGUGAAAGUCCCGUACACGAAAGCACACAGGCUGUGAACUCGAAGAGUAGGGCGGGACACGUGGUAUCCUGUCUGAAUAUGGGGGGACCAUCCUCCAAGGCUAAAUACUCCUGACUGACCGAUAGUGAACCAGUACCGUGAGGGAAAGGCGAAAAGAACCCCGGCGAGGGGAGUGAAAAAGAACCUGAAACCGUGUACGUACAAGCAGUGGGAGCACCUUCGUGGUGUGACUGCGUACCUUUUGUAUAAUGGGUCAGCGACUUAUAUUCUGUAGCAAGGUUAACCGUAUAGGGGAGCCGAAGGGAAACCGAGUCUUAACUGGGCGUUAAGUUGCAGGGUAUAGACCCGAAACCCGGUGAUCUAGCCAUGGGCAGGUUGAAGGUUGGGUAACACUAACUGGAGGACCGAACCGACUAAUGUUGAAAAAUUAGCGGAUGACCUGUGGCUGGGGGUGAAAGGCCAAUCAAACCGGGAGAUAGCUGGUUCUCCCCGAAAGCUAUUUAGGUAGCGCCUCGUGAACUCAUCUUCGGGGGUAGAGCACUGUUUCGGCUAGGGGGCCAUCCCGGCUUACCAACCCGAUGCAAACUACGAAUACCGAAGAAUGUUAUCACGGGAGACACACGGCGGGUGCUAACGUCCGUCGUGAAGAGGGAAACAACCCAGACCGCCAGCUAAGGUCCCAAAGUCAUGGUUAAGUGGGAAACGAUGUGGGAAGGCCCAGACAGCCAGGAUGUUGGCUUAGAAGCAGCCAUCAUUUAAAGAAAGCGUAAUAGCUCACUGGUCGAGUCGGCCUGCGCGGAAGAUGUAACGGGGCUAAACCAUGCACCGAAGCUGCGGCAGCGACGCUUAUGCGUUGUUGGGUAGGGGAGCGUUCUGUAAGCCGUUGAAGGUGGCCUGUGAGGGUUGCUGGAGGUAUCAGAAGUGCGAAUGCUGACAUAAGUAACGAUAAAGCGGGUGAAAAGCCCGCUCGCCGGAAGACCAAGGGUUCCUGUCCAACGUUAAUCGGGGCAGGGUGAGUCGACCCCUAAGGCGAGGCCGAAAGGCGUAGUCGAUGGGAAACAGGUUAAUAUUCCUGUACUUGGUGUUACUGCGAAGGGGGGACGGAGAAGGCUAUGUUAGCCGGGCGACGGUUGUCCCGGUUUAAGCAUGUAGGCGGAGGUUCCAGGUAAAUCCGGUACCUUUUAACGCUGAGGUGUGAUGACGAGGCACUACGGUGCUGAAGUAACAAAUGCCCUGCUUCCAGGAAAAGCCUCUAAGCAUCAGGUAACACGAAAUCGUACCCCAAACCGACACAGGUGGUCAGGUAGAGAAUACCAAGGCGCUUGAGAGAACUCGGGUGAAGGAACUAGGCAAAAUGGUGCCGUAACUUCGGGAGAAGGCACGCUGAUAUGUAGGUGAAGCCCCUGCGGGUGGAGCUGAAAUCAGUCGAAGAUACCAGCUGGCUGCAACUGUUUAUUAAAAACACAGCACUGUGCAAACACGAAAGUGGACGUAUACGGUGUGACGCCUGCCCGGUGCCGGAAGGUUAAUUGAUGGGGUUAGCGGUAACGCGAAGCUCUUGAUCGAAGCCCCGGUAAACGGCGGCCGUAACUAUAACGGUCCUAAGGUAGCGAAAUUCCUUGUCGGGUAAGUUCCGACCUGCACGAAUGGCGUAAUGAUGGCCAGGCUGUCUCCACCCGAGACUCAGUGAAAUUGAACUCGCUGUGAAGAUGCAGUGUACCCGCGGCAAGACGGAAAGACCCCGUGAACCUUUACUAUAGCUUGACACUGAACACUGGUCCUUGAUGUGUAGGAUAGGUGGGAGGCUUUGAAGCGUGGACGCCAGUCUGCGUGGAGCCAUCCUUGAAAUACCACCCUUUAAUGGCUGGUGUUCUAACGUAGACCCGUAAUCCGGGUUGCGGACAGUGUCUGGUGGGUAGUUUGACUGGGGCGGUCUCCUCCCAAAGAGUAACGGAGGAGCACGAAGGUUAGCUAAUCCUGGUCGGACAUCAGGAGGUUAGUGCAAUGGCAUAAGCUAGCUUGACUGCGAGAGUGACGGCUCGAGCAGGUGCGAAAGCAGGUCAUAGUGAUCCGGUGGUUCUGAAUGGAAGGGCCAUCGCUCAACGGAUAAAAGGUACUCCGGGGAUAACAGGCUGAUACCGCCCAAGAGUUCAUAUCGACGGCGGUGUUUGGCACCUCGAUGUCGGCUCAUCACAUCCUGGGGCUGAAGUAGGUCCCAAGGGUAUGGCUGUUCGCCAUUUAAAGUGGUACGCGAGCUGGGUUUAGAACGUCGUGAGACAGUUCGGUCCCUAUCUGCCGUGGGCGCUGGAGAAUUGAGGGGGGCUGCUCCUAGUACGAGAGGACCGGAGUGGACGCAUCACUGGUGUUCGGGUUGUCAUGCCAAUGGCACUGCCCGGUAGCUAAAUGCGGAAGAGAUAAGUGCUGAAAGCAUCUAAGCACGAAACUUGCCCCGAGAUGAGUUCUCCCUGAGACUUUGAGUCUCCUGAAGGAACGUUGAAGACGACGACGUUGAUAGGUCGGGUGUGUAAGCGCAGCGAUGCGUUGAGCUAACCGAUACUAAUGAACCGUGAGGCUUAACCUU
rnacentral:rRNA from 1 species